UACGAAGGGGGCUAGCGUUGCUCGGAAUUACUGGGCGUAAAGCGCACGUAGGCGGUCUUUUAAGUCGGGGGUGAAAUCCUGGAGCUCAACUCCAGAACUGCCUUCGAUACUGGAAGACUUGAGUCCGGGAGAGGUGAGUGGAACUGCGAGUGUAGAGGUGAAAUUCGUAGAUAUUCGCAAGGACACCAGUGGCGAAGGCGGCUCACUGGCCCGAUACUGACGCUGAGGCACGAAAGCGUGGGGAGCAAACAGG
rnacentral:rRNA from 1 species